GGAGAGGUGGCAGAGCGGCUUAAUGCGGCGGUCUCGAAAACCGUUGUGCGUCGCAAGGCGCACCGGGGGUUCGAAUCCCCCCCUCUCCG
rnacentral:tRNA from 1 species